CAUAGGUUGAGGAGGCGGUGACCAUGGCGGUGUAGGUGGAAGCGGCGGUGGAGGAGGAGGAUGAGGUAGCCAACACUGUUUUUUUAUAUAUAUAUAUAUAUAUAUAUAUUAAUUAGGGUAGCCCCCAAAAUAUUGGGACAUAUAAAAAAGACAACUCUGUUCCGCAGAGUAGCUGUUGACAUUAUAGUUGCGCAGGUACUUUGUUGACUCUAGAGAACCUCGGGCCAAUCGCACAUCCCCGUUACGGCGGCUUUGCAUUUGAAUGUCAUCCAUAUCAACUUUCCAUGCCAGUUUCUGCACCUACCACGGUGACCACGGGCAACAGGGAAUCAGGGUUCCAUUCCGUACAGGGAUCCUGACAAAUGGCUACCACAUGCAAGGAAGGCAGCAGGCGCGCAAAUGACCCACUCCCAACCCGGGCAGAUAGUGACGACAAAUAACAAAUAACUCUUUAGAGGCCCUGUAAUUGUAAUGAGUCCACUUGAAAUCCUUUAACUCUGAUGGAGGGAAGUGCGCACAGCCGCUACAGUGAAUGUCACAUCCUGU